rnacentral:rRNA from 1 species
GACGAACGCUGGCGGCGUGCUUAACACAUGCAAGUCGAACGGAAAGGCCCUGCUUGCAGGGUACUCGAGUGGCGAACGGGUGAGUAACACGUGGGUGAUCUGCCCUGCACUUCGGGAUAAGCCUGGGAAACUGGGUCUAAUACCGGAUAUGACCUUCCAAGUAGUGUGGGGGGUGGCAAGAUUUAUCGGUGUGGGAUGAGCCCGCGGCCUAUCAGCUUGUUGGUGGGGUAAUGGCCUACCAAGGCGUCGACGGGUAGCCGGCCUGAGAGGGUGGACGGCCACAUUGGGACUGAGAUACGGCCCAGACUCCUACGGGAGGCAGCAGUGGGGAAUAUUGCACAAUGAGCGGAAGCCUGAUGCAGCGACGCCGCGUGGGGGAUGACGGCCUUCGGGUUGUAAACCUCUUUCGACAGGGACGAAGCUUCGGUGACGGUACCUGUAUAAGAAGCACCGGCUAACUACGUG